rnacentral:rRNA from 1 species
GAGGAGCCUAUGGCCUAUCAGCUAGUUGGCGGGGUAAUAGCCCACCAAGGCGAUGACGGGUAGGGGAUGUGAGAGCAUGAUCCCCCUCACUGGGACUGAGACACUGCCCAGACACCUACGGGUGGCUGCAGUCGAGAAUAUUCCUCAAUGGGCGAAAGCCUGAAGGAGCGACGACGCGUGCAGGACGAAGGGCUUUGGCUCGUAAACUGCUUUUCUAAGGGAAGAACAUUGACGGUACCUUGGGAAUAAGAGGUUGCUAACUCUGUGCCAGCAGCAGCGGUAAUACAGAGACCUCAAGCAUUAUCCGGAUUUAUUGGGCGUAAAGGGUCCGCAGGUGGCCGUUCACGUCAGUGGUCAAAUCUUCGAGCUCAACUCGAAAACUGCCACUGAUACGGUUCGGCUCGAGUCUGGGAGAGGUAAGCGGAAUUGCCGGUGUAGUAGUAAUAUGCGUUGAUAUCGGCAAGAACACCAAAUGCGAAGGCAGCUUACUGGAACAGUACUGACACUCAGGGACGAAAGCGUGGGGAGCGAAAGGGAUUAGAU